GUCUGAACACCAUGACUCCUGAAAAAAAAAAGCAACAACAACAACAACAAAAACCCUCACAGAAUUGCAUGAAAUGUCCUCUUUUUCCACACACUCCUUUUUCUGUUUUUCAUUGCCAGUCAUAGGGCAGUCAAUUUUUUCAAAUUUUGAUCCCUCCUUCAAAUUUUUACAAAAUCAACAUGUCCAUUUUUGACAUCUACUCCACCCCUAAAAGGCAGAGGAUGGCCAGGAGAGGGGUUUUUCUCCUCUCUUCAUUUUAAGAAAAAAAAAAGGAGUUGUGUUUUGGAGCAGCUCUCCUGAGUAGAUAUGUUGAUCCAGCCAUAUUUUCUUUACACACGCUUUUGGAAAGCAGGAACCCAGCCUGGGUUGAUCAGAAGCCACAGUUAAACAAUUAUCCAUUCUAUAGAAAGCUUCUUCCAUCCAGGGCCCCCAUAUGUUCCAUUACCUCAGGGAUGCAAAAUGAUACACCAGCUCUGCUGGUUAAGAGGGUUCCGAAAAUGACAUUAUAAUUCCUGACUGGAGGGCUCAGCAGAUUGUACGGGAUACAGUCUUUCAUCUCUGAGCCAUUUGUUCAAAGAGUUGAUAGUGCCUGAAAACUGUUCCCCUCCAACUGGGUGCUGCAUGGUCUCGGGGCAGUGUGGUGGGUGGUAUCCAUUUGAGAGAUCGACGGGUGUCUUUCUGGCAUUCUCACCAGAGACUGAAUGGGUAUUGAUGCUCAACUAAUUGAUCAUGUGGUGACUACUUGGCUGGUCACUGGGGGACACCAGCACUGCCAUUGGCCAUGUUGAGAGGCAUCUUAACCUAAUUAAUUGUAACCCUUAAAUUAUUCACACUACGAGACACCACCUGCAAUGGCCCAUGCACGGUGUGACAUCAUAUGAGCAAGGUCCUGUCCUGUGUGGAGACUGGGAAAGUGCUGGGCUGCCACUGGUGUAACAUGAGGUGAAUACAAUCCACAUACUUUCCUGUCAUGUCUCACACAAAUUUGACCACUGCUUGAGGUAGCCAAUGCAACUUCCAUUCACAUAGCCCUGCAUGGAUACAGGCCCAAAUCAAGUGGCAAUCGUGUCCACUUUCCCGAAUGCUGCACUUACCACCAUCUGUUCUGAGGGCAGGAUAUAGGUAGCAAACAAAAGAAGCCAUUUUGUAGAGUAAUCCUUGUCCAUAGUGACGGGUGGGUUAUAGUCUGGACAGGACUAGAGCCACAGAGGAGAAUAGAUUAUAGGUUCUGCCAUUUUCUUCAAGGCCCCGCUCGCUGUUCACAUUGUGAGGAAGGGGGCGGAGAGGAGCACUCACUGGUGAAAACAAAAGUGUGACUUGUGGACAUAAACAAUGUCCCUGAAAUAGUUGCUGGUGUGAAGAGAAUGGAGCUGGCUGAGCUGUGGCAAAAGCCAGCCGGGAGCUAUUUAAAGAGUUGUCAGGGACCCGGGUUGCAAUAGGACAGUACCUGUAAGAAAUGUUAAGUUACUUUCACCGCUGAUCCCAACAGAUAACAUUGUUAUCAAAGGAGUUGCCACUCGCAUCAGCAUUCUCAGGGACCCGAUUUGCCUUUUUUGCUGCAGCUUAUGAAGCCUCUCCCGAUCUCUGAAGGCCUGAUGGAAGGAGGUCUGUCUAGACAAGCGGCAGUUCCAGAAAGGCAGCUUACCGUGCAUUUGGCAGAUCGAUAUCACAGAACCAUCCACUGCCAGGGCUGCAUUGCCACCCGUUAUUUUUGCCUGCUGGGGGUCUGCCCAACGAGGGCCAGGACACAGCUUUCCGAGGCAAUGCAGGAGAGCCUGGCAAACGACGACUGGAUUAGCAGCAGAUGAAUGGUUGCCAACCGCCCAGGACAGCUUUUGGCACCUUACAAAGCAAAAAAACAAAACUGAUCCGUAGCCACCAGUCAUGGGACAAAAGGAAAAAACGAGUCUGCUUUGGAAUCUGUUUGCCUGAGGGCUCCCUCUGGACCUGCUUUUGCCCACCACCGGAUAUAUGAAGUGUCCUGCAGCAGCUGCCACUGCACAUCAUAGGACUUCACUGGAGGAUACAAAUAGAGCGAGCGGAGAAAUUGCCGUCGAUUUGCAUUGAUCAUUAAUUUUUAAAAAACCUCUCGACAAGCUGCCUUCUUUUUCGGUGAAAUGAAAUAUGCCCCAUGUUCAAAAGACACAACAGGACUUCUGCUCAACAUGUGUCCUACGUUACCAGACCCUCUGAUGGUUUUAGAAAGCGCCUAUAUUUUUUCGGGGGAAAUACGUAAUGUACUCGCGCAAUUAAAUGAGGUUUCGUUGUGUAACCGCUCACUGCAGAUCCUAAUUUUCAACGACAUCUUUUAAUGUGUUGUUUUGCCAUCGUUCUUUCCUAUCCGUAUAAAGCUAGUUUUAUCUGUAUCUAUGGAACUUUAAAAUAUGUUUGCGAUUACAAAACGGGCAUGCCUCUAGACAUACGUGUUG